AACGCGAAGAACCUUACCUGGUCUUGACAUCCACGGAAGUUUUCAGAGAUGAGAAUGUGCCUUCGGGAACCGUGAGACAGGUGCUGCAUGGCUGUCGUCAGCUCGUGUUGUGAAAUGUUGGGUUAAGUCCCGCAACGAGCGCAACCCUUAUCCUUUGUUGCCAGCGGUCCGGCCGGGAACUCAAAGGAGACUGCCAGUGAUAAACUGGAGGAAGGUGGGGAUGACGUCAAGUCAUCAUGGCCCUUACGACCAGGGCUACACACGUGCUACAAUGGCGCAUACAAAGAGAAGCGAUCUCGCGAGAGCAAGCGGACCUCAUAAAGUGCGUCGUAGUCCGGAUUGGAGUCUGCAACUCGACUCC
rnacentral:rRNA from 1 species